AACAAAUCAGGGAGCGGUAAGUAAUCAAAAGAGUAAUUUUGGAUCGUAAAAUAAUUCUUUCUCAAUCAAAUGGGAAUGAUUUCUCCUUCCCACUCUUUCGGAAGAGUAGAGCCGAUCCUGGAAGCCCUAAUCCUACCUCGCCAUCUCCCUCUCCGUCUUCAUCACCCCCGUGUCCAUGGAGGCCUCUGGCCCGGGGCGAAGCUCCUCUGCGCGUGUUUGGAGGGCGAUCAAGCUAGGGUAGCUGUGAGACUCUGGAAUCUGGAUUGGAUUUGGGUGUUCCUGCCGGAGUUGGAUUUGGGGAUUCUCAGAAGCGGGUUAGGUUUGGAGAAGUGGUGUCUUAAAUGCAGGUCGGGAACUGUAAGAGAUCGAGCCCACUCAUUCUAAAUCAUAGCAACUUAAUUAUUUGAAUAGCUGUGAGGAAUCUCAUUUUUUCUCAUCAAUGUCACCAUGACUAAAUGAGAGACAUUUUUCUCUUUGGGUUGUAUGAUUAGUCAACAACAUUCUGAAUAUUCAUCAUCAUAAUGAAAUCUUCUGAGUUACUUUUGGUACCUACCAGCUUGUUACUCAUAUAAUCUUUUAUUUUAUUUUACUUUGUUUUUAGAUAUCCAAAAGUUUACCACCUUUCUCUCACACCUUAUCCUAUUCAAGAUACACUGCCAAAUCCUAACUCUGCAAUUAUUAAACUAUAUCUGCUCGGGUUCAGUUUGUUGUGGUCAAACAGCAUCUAUUUUGUUGAUCUUGUACUAGCAUAUAGGACAUUGGGAGGCUUGUCAUGGUCUUAAUCUUCAUUUGAACCUAUCCAACUUUAGCUCUGGAGUUUCAAUUCAUAUCUUGCAUGGUCUAGCACAAGUCUGACGCUGUUCCGACCUAGAUAUGUCACUGAAUUAGCAGACAGAUGUGAAGUAAAAACCUGAAAAAGCGAGCAGCAAAUGGACUUGGCCUGAAAGUUGGCUUGUUAGCCAGAAUACCACCAGAAGAGGGCCUUCCAGGGUCAAGAAGGCUAUGUCAGAGAGGAUCUUAAACUGUUCCUCAAGCUUUCGUCAUUAAAGAAGUCUUCGAGAAAGACCAACAGGGAAUUGAACCGAUAUCUGUUCAACCUACAAGCUUCGUAUCAAUCUUGUAGAACUAAUAGUGAGCUCUAUUCAUGUGAUUCUAAACCUGUAAUUGAAACUUUGCUUCCACUUCAUAGCGGAGCUAACCUGUUUCUAAAGGAUUCGUGCUCCAAGGAGUAGAUAAUUGGCUUUCCAGGUUGGAAUAAUCUUGGUCUGUUUGUUUAAUGGAAUAAUUUUCAUCUCUCUGUUUAAUUUCCAGAAUGGAUGGAAAAGGAUACAUUUAAUGUG